AUCUGGACGGAAAACAGCGCAGUUUAAAUUCAGGAGUAGUUAAGUUACAGGGUCGCGCUGUCCCUUCUUCGCUGAUUAACCUUUCAACAGCGGAGUCUCCUUAUCAAGGCUGAAACCUUAGUUGUUGGUGCUUCCUCCCGGGAGCCCGCCUACUACUAGAGCUUGAAACACACACACACACAGUAGGUGUGGAUUUUUCCCUGCAGGUUCCUUAACAGACGCAAAACGAGUUCCUUUUCAAGUUGGUUCCCCUUUGGCUCCAGCCUUUGUUGAGUUCUCCAAGACAGUCCCCAGCUCUGCAGACUUUUCCCUCCAAGAAGAGGGAGCGGAGGUGGGGGCGGGGAGCCGAGGGGAGGGAGGCUCGGAGGCUCGGAGCCCGGAACGCGGCGGCGCUCAGGAGGGAGCGGUAGCCAUCUGUGUACGCGGAGGGCUGAGCAGCGCUUCCUCCCCUCGAGUGCUGAAAUGGGAAGGCGUUCAAAUUCCCAGCCUCCCUUCGGGACUCCACUUCCUGCCGCUAAAGUGUAAGAGCCUCAGACAUCCUCGCUCGCUGGAGGGCGGAGGCUGUGCGACCAUAGUUGGGGGCAGGCAAGUCAUGAUCACAUGCUACCUUCAUCCGGGCUCUACAAAGCAUCUGCCUCAAUACUCAGCAGCUUCAGCUAGAGACUGAGAGACAACAAAUGCCAUGGUUGAGAAUGGGCCGGGUGACAGGAGCUUGCAUGGGGAAUAAAGGGUUAAGAGGCCGCCUAACAUGGUGGCUCUUGCUUGUAAGCCCAUAAUGCAGAAGGCUGCAGCAAGAGGAUCAGCCUCAGAUCCAUAUCAAGACCCUGUCUCUAAUAGUAAGGAUUGCAGAAGUAGUAGUGAAUUAUGAGAUCUCCAAAAUUUAGAGAAACCAUCAGGAAGGACUUUUACUAAAAUGGUGUUUGCUGCCAUCAUUGGAACCCUAAGGGUUCCGGAUAAGGGAGCCUUUGACCUUGCCUUCUUAUGGUCUCAGGUCCUCUACUGUCCCAUUCUGGUCCCAAGUGCCCUCAUGUAUAAAACCAAGAAGGGAAAUGUUUAACCACAGAGAGAGCAAAGUGUCUAAUAACUAUUGUUUUUGUGCCCCGAAUGUGACAGGGUGCUCUGUGAAACCGUAAUGAGCAGGGGGGCCUCCUGGGCCCUGGCUCCUAUUAGCCUACUAGGUCCACACAUCCUGUGCGUGGCUGAGGCUGGGGCUGAGGAAGAGGCCUCGGCUCCACUGGACUUCCUCUCCAACCAGCACUUACAAGCGCUGUGGGAUGGCAUGUAGGGUAGCAGCAGGCAGGCUGUCAGGAGGGCGUAGAAAUAACGACUUGAGAGGAAGCUCGGCCUAAUGGCUCUGAUUCUUGACCAGUACUUUAGGGAGCCUUGUCUUCCUCCUGUCCCCGAGGCUGAGUCAUAGAGCCCCUAAAUGACCUCCCUCUGAGUAACUUCCUGCUUCAUCCAGAGGGACCAUUAUACAGGAUCCAGUCAGCCAUCUGGGUCUCUUCCUCCUUCCCCAGAGGAAGGUGCUCUGAUGAAGAGAGACCAAGAGAGGUGCCAGAGGUUAAGCGUGUGAUUGAUGGUGGGCCCCGGGCUUGUGACUUCUUGUCCUGGUCUUUUUCUAUUGUGCCACAGAGCCCCAAUGACAAGAGCCCCAAGAGCAAGAACAAAGACACUUCAGGCCCUUCAGGAGACCCGUUCUGGCCAUCCCACGGGACACGAUGCUGUACAUAUUUCCAAACAUGCGAACGUUCUCAAACAGAAUGGCACAGACAGGAAUAGUCUCUAAGCCCAGAACAGAACAGACAGACAGACAAACAAACAAACGAAAAUUCCACUUCCUAAUUUCACUUCUGCUUUUUCCUGAGACACUACCACACACAAUUCCCUGGGUUUUAUCUUUACGUUGGGCACAUAGAAAUGAAGUGUCAAAUGGAGCUGCCACAGAAAAGUCCCAAUGCUGUGCAUGCAGGGGAUUUGAUCACGUGCAUCCUGGGAAGAGUUAUGGGGACAACAGAAACAGACAUUUAAAUGAGGAAGAACAGUUGGGACCUUGUGUCCAUUUUAAAUGCUUCCGUUAGUGUCCGCUAUGUUUUAGUUUAUUUAUAAAGAGAAGCACAGGUGUUGUGGUUUAGGUCGGCCACAGAUCGCCAUCUAUCUAAUCUAAAUUCGUUCAUCCAUUCACAUUUGUGGAUGUCCCCUUGGUACUGGCUGUACUGCUAGGCAAGAAGAAUAUGAUAUCUAACAUGUAUUUCUGCAGGUACCCCCCUCCACCCCACCAUGUGUGCAUCUGCUUUUCUUUCUGCCCUGGGAUUGAAAAUAUUUGAAAAAAAAUUAUAUGUACUGAAUACAGA